CGGCCGGCACAUUACGGUUUUCCUAGGACCUCAGGCAACAGCCUGUAUCCUUGGAAGUCUUUGGUGGUUGGCACCAAACUGCAGCCGGCAACAAUCUGUUUAUUUAUUUUCUUUUCUGAGAAGGAAUAUUCUGGCGGGACCAGAUGGAAAGAACUUCUAUGGGCUGUCUUCUGAAUGGCUCUCAGAACAAGGCUUAAAAUCAGAACACCCUUCCUGUCUUGACUGGUUCCUGGGAACUUCCUCGCCUGCAUGCUGCUUCUGUAGAUAGAUGAAAAUACUUUACGUCUUCCUUGGGAUAAUGCUAACCAUAUCUGAAGGAGGAUAAUAGGGCAGUCCUGAUGGUGUGGUGACAACUUUGAGACAGACUCCUACAAUCAAGCCAAUCCUUGGCAAUUCUUCACUGGAAACUCCUUGGACACCUGUCAAGUUACUGCCUUCAUUAAUGUCUUAAUAAAACUUCAGAAUCAAAGAAUAACUCAAAAAUAAGAAUAAUUUCAGAAAUCAGGCCAAAACAAGCUCUAAAUUAAAGUGUGUUUGAUAUGCCACAAAUAAGAACACAAAAAGGAUUGAUUAGGGGAAUAGGAAGGGAUAGUAAGCCUCAAGAGAUAUGAGAUGGAGUGGGAAAGGCCUCCACAUUUUGCAAUCUCUAGUCACAGUGAAGUUUUGGAAUUUGGAAGAUUUGUGUUGAGUUGAUGUUUAACCUCUAGGCUACCUGAGACAUUUUGGCUACACUUAGAUUUGGAACAUUUUUGGAAAAGUAUUAAAAUUUUUUUGAGAGACUCCUUCCUUGAAAUGAUUAGAAUCUGGGAUAUUGCUGAAAUUACAUUUAUAUUGAACUGUACUAAUGAUAGCUGAAAUGGAGCAUGACAAUGCUGAAACUCUCAACAAGGUCCAGUAAGCUGU